UUAUUCCUGAAUGGUACGUAAAGUGACUAACUUUUUAAAUCCGAACAUUUCUAAUAAGGGAAUCUGAUUCUCAAAUUCGGUGUUGAAUGCCUAGCUUUUUCUACCUAGGACUCCUAAAGAAUUUGAUAAGAUACCCACCUGCUACUUAGCGGGUUUAUACUCUAGCACUUACGGCCAUUUGGGUAUCAU
rfam:Turicibacter sp. H121, complete genome.